UACGAAGGGGGCUAGCGUUGCUCGGAAUCACUGGGCGUAAAGCGCACGUAGGCGGACUCUUAAGUCGGUGGUGAAAUCCUGGAGCUCAACUCCAGAACUGCCUCCGAUACUGGGAGCCUUCGAGUCCGGGAGAGGUGAGUGGAACUGCGAGUGUAGAGGUGAAAUUCGUAGAUAUUCGCAAGAACAUCAGUGGCGAAGGCGGCUCACUGGCCCGGUACUGACGCUGAGGUGCGAAAGCGUGGGGAGCAAACAGG
rnacentral:rRNA from 1 species